CUGUCACAUAAACUUAACAUGAACCAUGAAAAUGAGGUCAAGGUCAGUUGAACCAUAUGCCAGUCAGACAUGUACAGCUAACAAUGCUUCCAUACAACAAAUAUAGUUGACCUAUUGCUUACAGUUUAAGAAAAUAGACCAAAACACAAAAACUAAACACUGAGCAAUGAACCGUGAAAACCAGGUCAAGGUCAAAUAAAACCUGCACGACUGACAUAUAGAUCAUAAAAUAUUUCCAUACACCAAAUAUAGUUGACCUAUGACAUAUAGUAUUAGAUAAAAAGACCAAAACUCAAAAACUUAACUUUGACCACUGAACCAUGAAAAUGAGGUCAAGGUCAGAUGACAUCUGCCCGCUAGACAUGUACACCUUACAAUCAUAACAUACAACAAAUAUAGUAAACCUA
rnacentral:lncRNA from 1 species